rnacentral:ncRNA from 1 species
AGACAGCGCUUCGCGCUUCCUCAGUCCGAACGAUUCAAGCGUAGACUGGAUCAAACGCAUUUUUCAGUCUAAAUUUUGU